rnacentral:rRNA from 1 species
GCGGAAGGAUCAUUACAGUAGUCACCCAGGUUGCCGCAAGGCCUCCUGGGUAACCUACCACCCUUUGUUUAUUACACUUUGUUGCUUUGGCAAGCCUGCCCUCGGGCUGCUGGCUCCGGCCGGCGAGCGCUUGCCAGAGGACCUAAACUCUGUUUGUCUAUACUGUCUGAGUACUAUAUAAUAGUUAAAACUUUCAACAACGGAUCUCUUGGUUCUGGCAUCGAUGAAGAACGCAGCGAAAUGCGAUAAGUAAUGUGAAUUGCAGAAUUCAGUGAAUCAUCGAAUCUUUGAACGCACAUUGCGCCCCCUGGUAUUCCGGGGGGCAUGCCUGUCCGAGCGUCAUUACAACCCUCAAGCUCAGCUUGGUAUUGGGCCCCGCCGACCCGGCGGGCCCUAAAGUCAGUGGCGGUGCCGUCCGGCUCCGAGCGUAGUAAUUCUUCUCGCUCUGGAGGUCCGGUCGUGUGCUCGCCAGCAACCCCCAAUUUUUUUUCAGGUUGACCUCGGAUCAGGUAGGGAUACCCGCUGAACUUAAGCAUAUCAAUAAGCGGAGGAAAAGAAACCAACAGGGAUUACCUCAGUAACGGCGAGUGAAGCGGUAACAGCUCAAAUUUGAAAUCUGGGCUCACGGUCCGAGUUGUAAUUUGUAGAGGAUGCUUCGAGCAUGGUCUGGGCC